CUUGGCUGUGAAGCUGCCUCUGCAGAGACACAAGAAGAGGCUUCAUUUUUUAGUAUUGUUUUGCAUAAACGUCUGGACAAAGUGCAAGCACAUUGGCCUAAUCUGAGGUGGCCCAGCUUCUGGAGUCUGCAGGCUGAAUUAGUUGCAAAGGACUUAAGACACAUUGCCCAAAUGUGAGGCUUUUUUUAGAUGGAAAGUUUGUAGGAAAACAGGAUACUUGUCUCUGAAGAGGUUGUCUGCUACUCAUUUCCGGCAUAAACUUCCUGCUGUUGCUACUUCAGAAACUACUGUCUAAUCCACUUGUGUCCCAGGCCUUUACCUCUUUCACUAUGCACCUGGUCCCCCCAGAUCAUGGACUUUCAAAAUUCAUUCCCCCAUAUCACCCCUGGCCUUAAUUUCCUUAGCAUCCACAAUCUGGGUCAUGUGACAAGUUUUUCCUCACUCAUUCUUUCCUUGAAUAAUCACUUUGUUCACCUCUCCCUCAAAUUUCCCUGUUUCCUCACAUGCCAUUCUUCACCAUAUUUAAAUUUGAACUGUCUGUUGAAGCCUGUAGAAAGAAGUUCCUUGCUUUUGUGGAUGUUUCAGCAUUGUCUUGCUGCAAACAGAAAACACCCACAGCCUUGCAAACACCCCUGGAAAUUUUAUUUCCUGGGUUUUUUUGACUUUGCAUCAAUUCCUUUCAUCCUCUAAUUAGUACACUUGUUAUGGGCUCAGUUUAGUUUAGCUAGUCUCUGUGGAGUGUGGUAAUACCAUGCCAGAAUAUUUUUUUUUGUGAUAAAAUGCCAUUUUCUUCCAUCAGGGCAGAUUACACAGUCAGCUGUGUAUUAAAAGGUCAAUGUACAAAAACCUUAUAAAUGUAUUGACCAGUCUGGAAGCUAGUUGUUAUUUUUGUAAUGCCCUGGUGACACAAUGAUUAAACUGAUUAAGCCAUAAAUGAUGAGGACAUCAACUUCUGUCAGUUCAGCUCUUGGAAUAGCCCUCCAGCCCCCAGUCUCCCAGUGUUCUGGAUAAAUGUGCUUUGAGUUCGUCGUAAAACGCCGGGUCAAUGGACUGCCGAGUACUCAAACAAAGCAGAACGCCCUGACCACGUGCAUAGCCAGCUCUCCUGCCUGUGCUGCCACAGGUGAACCCAAGGCAAGGAAAUGUGAGCACUUGGCAGGCCUACAGCAGAUGCCAUCUGAGUUUGUCUGUGAUGAAGUGUCACAUACCCAGGGCUGGUGACGAGGGAGCUGAAGUGGGAGUGCGUCAAGACGACGUUUGUGGCAGCACACUCUGUAGCACAGCCUGCGUUGGCUCACUUGCUAGGCAACCUCUGAAUGCUGCCUUUCUCAAGUGUUUGGGAGGAGGUGAGCUGAUCUCCUUUUGAGCAUGGCUAGAACAGAGGAGCUCUGAU